rnacentral:misc_RNA from 1 species
UCUCCGUUGGUGAGCCAGCGGAGGGAUCAUUACAGGACUCGCAAGACUCCUUCACCCUGUGAACCUCACUACAAGCACGUUGCUUCGGCGGGUGUCCCGGCGGGGGUUUUCCCUCGCCGGGGCGCACAGCCCGCCGGCAGCCUACUAUACUCUGUCUCUUUGCGUUGGCAUCUCGAGAAAAAACAAACAAGUUAAAACUUUCAACAACGGAUCUCUUGGUUCUG